GACGAACCGUGCGAACGUUGUUCGGAUUCACUGGGCUUAAAGGGCGCGUAGGCGGACGGUCAAGUCAGGGGUGAAAUCUUUCAGCUCAACUGGAAAAGUGCCUCUGAUACUGAUCGUCUCGAGGGAGGUAGGGGCAUGUGGAACUUCCGGUGGAGCGGUGAAAUGCGUAGAUAUCAGGAGGAACACCUGCGGCGAAGGCGGGUUGCUGGGCUGACACUGACGCUGAGGCGCGAAAGCCAGGGGAGCGAACAGG
rnacentral:rRNA from 1 species